CCUCCCCCUCAUUCUCUCUCUCUCUCUCUCUAUAUAUAUAUAUAAUUUUAUUUAUUUAUUAUAUAUAGUAUUUAUUAUUUAUAAAAUUUUAUUUAUAAAUAUAUGUUUAUUUAUUAUGUAUAGUAUUUUAUUUUUAUAUAGAUAUAUUAUUAUAUAAUAAUUUAUUAUAUAAUUUAUUAUUUAUUUUUAUAAAAUGUAAAAUAUAUAAAUAAAUGUUAAAUAAUUUAGACUAUUGAUAUUAAAUAUAAAUAUUAAUUUUAUAAUAUUAAGCAUUCACAUAUAAAUUGUACAUUAAAAAAUAAAAAAAAUAAUGCAACUUAAGUUAAUUUUAUAUUUGAUUAAAAUUAAUUGCGAGAAUCACAAAUUAUAUUUUCUCUUCUCAUUCAUUAACUACUGGGGGCCUACGAUACCUACUAAAAUUAUUUCACUAACUAAUGGGGGAUUACUAUGCCUAUUAAAAUUUUUUGAUGUAUUUAUUGCAUCAUUUAAAUUCUGAAAUUAAUUUUUAUAAUUAAUUUUUAAAAUUAAAUUUUAAAAUAACUAUCCGCAGCAUCGCACGGGUCCCUUAACUAGUUUUAAUUUUAUUUGCUAUAAAGUAACUAAAAUUAUUAGUUUUAUUAAAUUAUCUAUAAACUUGAUAAAAUCUUUAAUUUACUCAACUUAAAUUUUUGAAAUUAGAGGGUGUCGAUCAAAAUUACCAGGGCUCGAUUUCGAAACAUCUCACAGUUGAGGGGUCUCCGUACAUAUUUAGCUCGACGAAGAGUAGGGCUGGCAAACGAGCGAGCCUGCUCGCGUUCGACUCGUGUUCGGCUCGAUUUUCGGCUCGCUUGAGCUCGACUCGAAAUUAAAUGAGCCGAGCUUGAACAAAAUAAAAGGCUCGAAAUUCAUUUCAAGCCGAGCUUGAGUAUUACUCGGCUCGUUCGAAUUAGGCUCGAAAAGCUCGAAAAGCUCGAAUAUAUAUAUAUAUAUAUAUAGGGUUUAGGGUUUAGGUAUUUAUAAAUAUAAAAUAUUUAUAACUAUAAUGUAUUUUAAUUAUAUAUAGGCUUUAAUUUAAUUUGGGCAAUUAUUGUUGGCCCAUAAAAUAAACCCAACAAGUACAACCGUGCAAUUGAGCCAAACUCUAAAUUUACAUAACACACUCUCUUUCAGAUUUUUACUGUUGCACGUAAUCCUAAAAUAUGAUAAUAUUCAAAUUUUCAAAUCCCUAAUUUUUUUCUCCCCUCUCUCUCUCUCUCUCUCUUAGACCCUCACCCAGUCAGGCAGUCACCCUAGCUCACAUUUCUUGCAAUUAUUUUGUAUUUUUGAACUAUUGGACAUGUUGCAUCAAAUUAUAGGUAAUGUUCUAUAAAAAUUAAAUUAUUGAUUAUAUAAUGUCGAGAAUUUCAAUAGACUCGUUUAGAGCUCGAACUCGGCUCAACUCGAAAUUAAGCUCGCUCGAGCUCGACUCGAAUUAAUUUCAAGCCGAGCUUGAGCCUAGAUUUAGACUCGAAAUUAAUUUCAAGCCGAAUUUGAGCUGACAUAAGCUCGCUCGAGCUCGGCUCGUUUCCACC
rnacentral:lncRNA from 1 species